rnacentral:tRNA from 1 species
GCCCUGGUAGCUCAGCUGGAUAGAGCGGUCCCCUCCUAAGGGACAGGUCAGGGGUUCGAAUCCCUUCCAGGGCACCA